CCUACGGGAGGCUGCAGUGAGGAAUAUUGGGCAAUGGGCGUAAGCCUGAACCAGCCAAGUCGCGUGAGGGAUGAAGGUUCUAUGAAUCGUAAACCUCUUUUGUAGGGGAGUAAAGUGUGGGACGUGUCCUGUUUUGUAUGUACCUUAUGAAUAAGGAUCGGCUACCUCCGUGCCGGCAGCCGCGGUACUACGGAGGAUGCGAGCGUUAUCCGGAUUUAUUGGAUUUAAAGGGUGCGAAGGGGGACGGUUAAGUCAGCGGUAAAAGCCCGGGUCGAACCCCCGGCGAGCCGUUGAAACUGGCUGUCUUGAGAUGGCGAGAGGUAUGCGGAAGGCGAAGUAUAGCGGUGAAAUGCUUAGAUAUUGGGAAGAACUCCGAUUGCGAAGGCAGCAUACCGGCGGCGAUCUGACGCUGAGGCACGAAAGCGUGGGUAUCGAACAGGAUUAGAUACCCUUGUAGUC
rnacentral:rRNA from 1 species